rnacentral:rRNA from 1 species
CCUACGGGUGGCAGCAGUGAGGAAUAUUGGUCAAUGGACGCAAGUCUGAACCAGCCAUGCCGCGUGCAGGAAGACGGCUCUAUGAGUUGUAAACUGCUCUUGUACGAGGGUAAACGCCGGUACGUGUAUCUGUCUGCACGUCUCGUUCGAAUACGGAUCGGCUAACUCCGUGCCAGCAGCCGCGGUAAUACGGAGGAUUCAAGCGUUAUCCGGAAUUAUUGGGUUUAAAGGGUGCGUAGGCGGUAGGAUAAGUUAGAGGUUAAAUCCCGAGGCUCAACUUCGGAAUUGCCUCUGAUACUGGUAGGCUAGAGAGUAGUUGCGGUAGGCGGAAUGUAUGGUGUAGCGGUGAAAUGCUUAGAGAUCAUACAGAACACCGAUUGCGAAGGCAGCUUACCAAGCUGCAUCUGACGUUGAGGCACGAAAGCGUGGGGAGCAAACGGGAUUAGAUACCCUAGUAGUC